CCAUCUUUCUCUUGGCUCCUUCAUAUAGGCGCUUGAGAUGGGGAUCUAAUGAGUGUCACAGUGACAGAUUCCCCUCUAGCCUGGCUGUAAUUAGGGCUCCUCUCUAAUGUCACCUUCGAUUGUUUCUCUUUGAAAGGAGAGUCAUUAAAGACCUGGAGCUGCACCCACAGGGCUGUGCAUUCCAAUCCCAGAGGCAGUGCUGCUACCCUGGCGAACGCCCAGCUGCAUGGAGACGUCCAACCCGGCGCAUCAUUGGAAGAAUGCGUGGAGGAGGCCACGGAAAGGAAGAUGAUGGAGCAUGAAGAACGUGUGGAGCAGCGCUGUUGGAAAGGCUGGAGGUCCAGCUGUCCUCACACGUUUUGCUUCAGAAUGUUUCCCGAAACCCGAGGAAACACAGCGCAUUGGGAUCGCCUUGGAAUAUCCCCAGGAGGCUUCACUGUAAGUAAUGGCAGCUGCAUUUGUUCCACCGUGUACUGCAGUUAUUGCUCUUCCUCUUGCUCUGACCAUCCAUCCCUUUGUAGGUUUACACCAUGAUUAACUAAAAACUCGUAAGUUGUAAUGAUAAAGAUAAAAUGCGAGUCUGCGCUAGAGUAAAUAUUACCAUACCUGCCUAGAGAAGAUGACUUGAUGUCUCCCGUGAUGCGAUGGGAGAGCCGAGAGGCCUCAAGAUGCUGCUACACGGCGACUGUAAAGUUUGAAGGGCAAGAUGUGAAUGCGAGCCUCACGACACUGCUACUGCUGAGAUCCAGGGCCUUUAUACAGUCCUGCUUUUAAUAACAAGGCAAAAUACGUGAAAGGUACUGUAUUAUUUCUUUUAUUCAGAUUUGCUUUAGAAAGUCUUUAUGUCCUCUCAAUAUUUUUCCAUCUUUUAUGUCCACCCUUUGCGCAUGGAAACUAUUGCACGUCAUGAUCAUUUCAGUUUUGUUUGAGAAAUAUUUUCACUAUUCUCAGUAGACGAAAUGUCCGAAUACCCGCUUUUCACGUUACGUGGCGUUCCUUUUUUUGUGUACCCAACCAACCAGACUCUUGGGUACGAGACAUGGAAAAGCUGCUCGAAUACAGGGGACGUUCGGUGACGGAAGCGUUCGCGAUCGCACCGACGUAUCCGCACGAAGAAUGCAGCCCUGUGCUUCGAGCAGCUCGAAGCCCUGCGUGUCGCCGCGACCCGGGCCUUUUCUCCGCCGAUGAGGAGGAGCUCAUGCGCGGGACCGCGGGUUCGCCCGACACGCUCGAUCGAAACGCGCGUCGGUCUCUCGCCUGCACCGAACACGGCUCCUGUUCCUUAGCGGCCCGCUGGAGUAAGCAGCCACGCGUUGCUCGCCGCGCCGUAAUCGUAGAUGUAGCUCCCCGUGCCGGAUGAUCGGGGAGGGUGGAGGUGAGAGGGGGGCUCUUCUAUUCUUUGGAAACCGCUGCUGGAGUAACCCACCUUUUUACCCACUGGCACUUAUUUCACUGCUUUCUUUUCCUUCGAUGGAGGAGAGGGAAUGUAAACUCGUCUUCGAGAAGGGAGAGGGUGGCGGCAGCGAUCUCACCAUGAGGUGGAAUUAGCGCGGGCUUUCGGGAGGCGGGGCGGGAGCCCGAACGCAGCGGCGUAAUUAAAAGGGAUAGAAUUUGAAGCCGCGCACGUGCGGUUUCCCAGCGUGAUUGGAUGGCACGCGCAGCGCGCGUUUCCGCGAGCCGGGGUUCGAGAUGGCUGGGCACGUCGGCCAGGGCGACUGAUAAAACACGGCGGGUAAUUGGAUUUCCGUGCCGAGGUCAAUGUUAUAAAUGGCUCCUGUCAGGCCCGGUGCGCACGGAAACACGGCGAGCCCUGCUUGAGCGGGUCUGCGUGAGGAUCACAUUGUUGGGGGCGCCUUCGAUGCAGAAACGGCGAGAAAGAAUUCGGAAUAAAGGCCCGAGUUUCACCCAAUGAUGCGCUUGAGCUGACUCAAAGUCUGAAGUCACUGAAGUGCGCUUUGUAAUAAAGAUGGUCUGAAUGCCUUGUGAAUCGAUUGCAAAUUGCAAAUAUUUAAAUAAGGCCAUCACAAUUAACUCAGCAGACUAACUAAAGGCUUUUUCGCCAAUACGCACCGCAUCUGACCCGAUACUAUGCACUGCGUUGCGUUUAACCCUUCGGUGACACGUUCCUCGGUUGUUAUAAAUGGGCAUUUUUAGCAAGAAGCAGGUUUGUGACAGCUACAGUCCACAUCAGACUGUUUUUCAGUGUUCAGCAGGCUGAGUUUGAUGUUCGUUCCACAUUAAACCAAAGCAAACGUUUUAUGCGCAUGACGAGUCUUUUCUUUAAACAGACAUUUAAAUUGCACAUUAUUCACUGUUUAAGGACUCCUUGCUAAAUGAACUUUUGUUUCGUUCUGAUGGAGAGAACAGUAAAUUGGUACUGGCAUACAGACACAGGCAUCCAGACCACCCAGCAUCCCCUGGAGGUGAGCAUUUUGAACCCGUCAAUUAGGGGCCAAAUUGGUACGACUCGAGCGGAGAUCUCGGAGGCCUCGGCAGUGACUGUUUCCGGUAAGCGAAGGGGCGGCAAUGCCGAUCGAUACCGCUCUGUACACCGCCACGAAGCAAACACGCAGCUGUAGACGAAAUAACGGUCAAGGAUCGGAGAGACCGCACAUUUGUGGGUUCCGAAACACGGGAGGUUCAUCCUGAGACGUUUUUUCUGAUUUGCUUAUCACGACCGUGCUACGCGGUCGCGGCUCACGAAUUCAUCUUCGUCCGUAGUCUAGUUUACGCCUAUAUUUUCAAGUCGUCGUUGGUGACGGAGGUGACCGUUCUGACCAUUAGCAGACUAUGUCGAACACUGAACUCCCAGUAAAUGAAAACAACCCGUUCAGUAGAGGCAUUCGUACGGCGUCUGCGGCUCUGACUGCUUCGUUAAAACACACGCGUUUGCCGUGUUACCGCGGGUAAAGGAGCCGCUUCGGAAACUGGAACCUGUACAGGUCUUGUGGAUUUCAUAACACAUGAAAGGCUCCGAAUACUUGCUUCGCAGUCUCCUUUGUUCUUCUGGAACGCCGGAGUGCCGACUCGCAGGCCUGACACCGAUAAUGAGACUUCGGGACGGAAAAGCUCCCUCCGUGCCCCUCGGGCCCAAGGUAGAGCAUAGAAUUUCAUACGAUAUGUCACCUUGCAUCAUAGAGCUGCGCCUCGCUGUCACGAGCUCUGAUACAGUCUAUUAAAGAUUUGACAGGGACCCGUACGCUUGGAUUACUUUAUACACCUUGAAUUGACUCGUGAUCCUUAUACAAGGACAUCUCCGGUAACCGUGCGCUUGUGCUGUAGGGUGCACUCACUCCCGAAACAUAAAUAUUGUAAUAUACAGCAACCUGUAUAGUAAGUAAAAGUAAGUUAUGUAUAUUAAGAUAAGUAAUCCUGCGUAGGCACCACUGUGACACCCGAGGCUCUGAGUUUCUGUCUUUUAUUUGUCGCUUCAUAAGCAGAAUCCGAGAAUUUUCGUCAGAUGCAGAAACACGUGUUCAAACCAGCCAAAUGGCAGCCAUGUGUCCACUCCACUGUCCUUUCAGCUUCCUGUGUCCUCCGUCGGUGUCUCUCCAGGCUUCUCCUGAGCACUGUAACAAGGCGGCGCUCACGUGUGUCUGCUUGGAGCCUUUCCACCCGCCACAGUGGCUGGAACCCGUGUCCUUUUCACGGCUUCUCCGCCGCGGCACGCCGGCAUUCAGCGGUAGCUCGCGCUGUCAAUAGGAGGACGAGUCGCCCGCGUGAAAAAGAUAGACCACGUCAAGGCAGGAGGGGAUGACUAAGAGAAGGUAACUUGCGGUGGAAAAAACUGUCCUUGAAUAUGGAAUAUUCCAUUUAGUCCUGGACUGAAAUACCACAAAGAGCAACAUCUUCCCUGUACAGGACACAUUUUAAACAAUAAUGUAGCGAAAACAUACUUUCGCUCCAUUAAUGUAGCUUAAAUUUACAUUUACACGUAUCCAUUCGGCAGACGCUUUCCUCCAAAGCUUCCUAUUCAAAUUUAUUUGUCUUGCAAUUACCAGUGAAUUCGGAAAUACAGCAUGAGUCUAGAUUGGGAAAAUUUAUCGGCUGACACUCAAAAGAUGAAAUUCUUUGCUAUGAUUAUUGUACGCGUUGGACUUUUGACCUUCUCCUUCGCUAACUUAAUAAAGUUUUCUUGUCACAAGUUACAUUGUUUAACUCUUGCAAUGACCUGUGUUUCUUUUCUCUUCUUAAUUCCCCUUCUGUGUCUUGCAUUGCAUGCAAUUCCUUUCUUCAAAUAAUUCCUUACUACAGGUUACCUAACGACAUGUUUUUCAUAAAAUCGCCCCCCAGACAUACAGCUGAUCUAAACCACGAUCGCAGGUUUACAUCGAUCUCUUCCAACGCAGCGUACAAGUUGAGUCACUUUUUCGGAAUUAACAAGCGAUUGCAAUUGGCAGCCUGUCUCAUGCUGUUUAAAAAUCGUUCAGAGCUGAUGGAUGAUGGAUGUGAAAUACAGAAAGCCGCACAAUUACGACUCCCCCAACAGGAGACGUGUAACAGUUCAUCCCUGCUGACAGAGCUAACUGGACGUUUGCCCCUUUGAAGGUCCAGCACUGUCUGACAGGGACUGUGGAGGGUCAUCCUGCCAACUAUCCCAGCUAUAAUCAUCUUCUGAAUGGCAUCUCACUCAGUCUGUGUGGAGUUUCCAUGUUCACCCUGUGUUUGCUU